AAUAAAGGAAAGAAAGAGAGAAAUAGAGCAAAGAAACUCAAAGAGAGAAUACAAUUGGUCCGUAUAUAAAUUAUUUUCCUUGAAAGAUUCUUAAAUUUGGAAACGACGAUAGCAGAAAAUGGAUUGGAUGAUCUUGCGAUUUCUUCCGGUUCCAUCGCUGAUCUCCAGGUUUCUUCUACACCAUGGGCUUUUCGUUUCUCUUUGCAAUCUAGGGCUUUAUCGUUUUAGUUUUUAGGUUUCUCGACUUUCAAUUUGGGCGAUCCAGUUACGUGAUACUAUCCUUGAUAAUUCUUCAUUUGCUUCUGCAAUUUCUGCAUCAAAUUUGAUGUGAUUGGCCUGCUGGCUUGCAUUCUUUCCAUUUGAGGGAUGUUCUCUAUUACUUCCGGUGUUUUGAGUUUUGGGUUUCAUACAUGUCAAGAGUAAACAAGAAGCUCAGUGUUUAGGUUUCCACCUGAUAAAGCCUCAGUUUUUGUUUCUUACUCAAUGUUAGAUAUCUACAAUUCAACUGGAAGAAACCCAGUUGACAUAUUCAUAAGUUUAAUUAACCCCAAAAUCAUCUAGAUAGGCCAUAAACUCUGCAUUUGAAUAGUCUUGGUCGGAUUGGAUGUGGUUUCUUUGCUCCCCCUUCUUGCUAGUUUCUAUCUGUGACUAUAAGUUGAGAAUAUGUUCAAUAUAUGUUCACCAAGGCUAUAUUUGAAUCACCAAGUCUCUAUUUGAAUUAGGAAAUCAAAAUGUGUGAAUUGUGAACGAAUGUAUGAUGAAGUUGAUUACAAAUCAUUGUUUGUAAAAAUUGUCUUUUGUAUUUUUAAACUUGAUCAGCUACUGGAUUUCUUUAUCAUGUAUUGAUGGAGUUUGCUAAAGACUUGGAAGUUCAAGAUUGUGGUCAUCUCUGUGUUUUUUAUAUAGGUUAUGGUUGCAACUGGUGUUUGUGCGGCAAUUGGGCAACUGUCCAAGCCGUUAACUAAUGUAAUUCUGUAUGGGAAAGAGUUUGAUUUCAAGGCAACCACUGCCGGCUUCCCUUCCACUCAUCCCUCUGUAAGCUAUAAGAAUCAAAUUUCAACAUUGGGUUCAAAACGGCGACUGGCUGCCGUAGAAGGAAGCUGAUUUGGUGCUUGGGGUCUGGAAAUUUUUUAUCCCAUCAUGUAACUUUAUAAUCAAAUAAUUUGUCAUACUCUCUGUUGGAUACUAUCUAAUGCCGGAAUUGCUUUUGUUGUUGUUUUCUCCAUGGGUAGUUUAGUGGUGGCUACUGCAACACUUGGCCUUGAAAGGGGGUGAGAAAAGAAGUCGGAAACCAAGCAAGAGUAGUGAACAAAACUUUGCCUCAAAUUACAAGGGGUGAACACAAUCUCAUCCAAAGAUAGAGGUAGACACACUUCUCAGCCUAAAACAUCAUCUUCGUUACAGUUGAAUAGGCUCAAGUUCCUUGCACUGGGGAUAGAGAAGCAGGGUGCCAUUGCCAUCCAUAGGGUUAAAGGGAAGAGUAAGCAGUUGGGAGUUGGUGGGACAGCGAUAUUAUCAUUCAGAAGCUUAGUGAGAAGGAAUCUAGACAAUCUUUUUCUAAGGGUGUGAGGCUUCAAUUGUGCACUGGGUAUAUAGAUGGUCUAUAAUCUAUAUGUACUCAGUUAAAUGCUACAUGGUCUAGCGUUUUCAACUGCAUGUGGAUAUAGAUGGUCUAUAAUCUAUAUGUACUCAGUUAAAUGCUACAUGGUCUAGAGUUUUCAACUGCACGUGGAAAGGAGCCGCCUUCACGACCAUGUAAGUCGCCGCCCCAAGAUCAAAACCCCUAGAAGAAAUGAGCAGAUGACCUCAAUCAGGGUUCAAAAGAUCUAAGGAUCAAAGGUUGCAGAAUGAGUACACGACACACCCUCCAAGCUCGAAAUAGAUACAAAUGGUCAGGAAAUAUUUAUUAAUUUUGUCUUAGAUUCCUUUUUCAAAUUUCUAGUGUUUUUCAUGGUUUUCCAUUUAAAUGGAAGUUUUGGAAGUAAUAUUUCAUUCAUUGUUCCGUAUCUUAUUAACUGGUGAGCCACAAGUUUUUUUGUUUUUACAUUUAUUUAGUUAAAAAAUUGC